CUCCUCCAGCCUCUGCUGGGCGGCUCUGCUCCCCGUGCUGGACGGCGGUGGCUCUCAGAGGCCGACGGACCCUCGCCGUGAUCACAUUCCACCGGCUGCGGUCUCUCUCCGCGCUGUCUCUCGAGCUUCUCCGGCGCCACCCAUAAAAACACAGCAUCAUGUCUGACGACGAGGAGGUUUACUCUUCUGAGGAAGAAGAGGAGGUUAGCGAGGAGGAGGAGGAGGCUCCCAAACAGGAGGAGCCGAAGCCUGCAAAGCAUGCUGAGGAGAAGAAAGAGGAGAACAUCUUCACUCAUCGGCAGCAGACCACCACCUCCGAGCUGGAUGAACAGCUCAAAGAGUACAUCGCCGAGUGGCGCAAACAGCGCGCCAAGGAGGAGGAAGAGCUGAAAAACCUGCGCGAGAAACAGGCCAAGCGCAAGGUCCUGCGUGCCGAGGAGGAGAAGCGCCUGGCGGCCGCCAAGAAGGUCGAGGAUGAGCGCCGUCUGCGCGAACAGGAGGAGAAGAAGCAGCGCGAGAUGGAGGAAAAGCGCCGCCGCCUCGAGGAGGCCGAGAAGAAGCGCCAGCUGCUCGAGCAGGCCUCCAAAGCCACCGCCGGAGGAAAGAUCAAGAUCAGCAAGAGCGGAGACGCGACCAGCUCCACGCCCGCCAAGGCCGAGGUCAUGAAGACUAAGGAGCAGCUGGCCGAGGAGAAACAGCUCGCCAUGAGCGUCCGCAUCAAGAAACUCAACCUGGACGGCAUGGGCCUGGAGUCGCUCAAAAAGAAGGCCGAUGACCUGUGGACACAGCUGGUGCAGCUCGAGACGGACAAGUACGACCUCGAGGAGCGUCAGAAGCGCCAGGACUACGACCUGAAGGAGCUCAAGGAGCGACAGAAGAUGCAGCUGCGACACAAGGCCGUCAGGCUCGGACUCGAGCCCGAGGCCCUGACUGGAAAGCACCCGCCCAAGAUCCAGACCGCCUCCAAGUUUGAGCGCACCAUCGACCGCCGGACCUACGUCGACAAGAAGGAUCUCUUCGCCGGCGUAAGUGACACCUACGACUCUUUUCACAUACCGUAUUUGUGCCGGGUUGUCGACUCGAGCGCUCGCGAUCGCAUAGAGACUGGGGCCGAUUUUCGGCCCGGCCAGCCGGCGAUGGCACCGAUUUUUGGAGCCGCCUAUCUGACUAUCAUGCAGGUAUUUGUUUGUGAUUUGCGCUGUUUGCUUUUUAUGGUCGUGGUCACGGUCAGAAUGAAAGUACAGUGGAUGUUCAGUCAAGGCUACCGCGGAAUUUGUCGAGGACGACAUGCCAAGACACUGCCUGUUCGACGUUCGUCUCUACACUUUGCACUCCACAUGAUGUGCAUAGGCUCCGCUCACACGAUGAAUUCACGACUCUAUGCUCAAUUUUGUCUAAAUUGUAACGUAGACGACUUUCGUGUUUGAUGGUCUAAUCAAACUAACGGGUCUUCAGAAAAGCAGCGGUGUUUCAUAAAACGGUCUUAAUCGUCUGGGACAUCCUAUUAAACCAAAGCACGGCCAGUUAUGGUUAAUUAUAAAACCAUUGCUUUGCAACGGGUGCCGACCGUUCCAUAUUUUAUCAGCCCAGCGAAAAGUUCCUCGAUUGUCAUCAGUCAUACUGCCUGCAUGGUAACUUAUUUGGUCUAAUUGAGCCGGGUCCAGUAGCCACGUCCAUUUUUGAACACGCCUACAAGUUAUAUUCAAAACUCAUGUACUUCAUUAUUGCGUGAUUAGAAUCUUGAAAUGACAUGCAUAGUCCAUCAUCAAGUGAGUUAUUUUAGGGUGAUGUCAAAUAUGCAAUCUGGAAAUAUUUUCUACUAAAAAAAAAGAGCUUAACAACCCGGGAAACAGAUCGAAUUAGCAUAUUCAGUGUAGCUCGUCUUUUGAAGGUCAAGUUUGCCCGAGCAGAAUUGAAACAUUGCACCAACCUUGCUGUUGCGAACCGGUAACACCAUCGCUGUUUAGGUGUUGAAGUGUGUUUAUUUGAAGUUAAUUUAUUAUUUUGACUGCAUAUAUUGGUUGAGCAUCGGAUGCAUACGUAAAUGUGCCGGACAGUGGGAGUGUCAGUGUGGGCUGAAAAUGCGGGGGAUCUGUUGGCGGCGUAUCAGAGCGCCUUGUAUGCCACAGGGAUGGGACAAUAUCAAUAAAGAACACCUCGAAAAGGAGUGGGGUGAGAAGAAACAGGAGUGGGAAAAGCGGCCCAAGAGUAAGUGACGUCACUAGUCGGUGUCACCAGUCGUCAGCUAGCGGCGCGUUAUCAAUUUUUUACACGCGCCCACCACGGUCGAAUCCGGCCUAGGACGUGCGGCUCGACGUGGAACCUUAGCUUAGAUUUUUCCCCGCAGGUGGCAGCACCGGCGCGGCCGCUGGACUGGCCCGACGCCGGCGGCUGACCGAAUGACUGACCCUGUACGUUGCAUGCCGCUGUACAAAGGCGGGCGUGUGCCGUCGUAGAAUUUUGACCGUAGUGGGCGAUGUCAUCUACAGGGCUUUAUCAACCAGGAGAAGGAAUGCAAGGAGAAGCAGUGGGCGGAAAAGUUGAAAGACUUCGACCACCGCUCCAAAGGUCUGUAGGGGCUUCGGAGCCGCACUAAUAGCACGCUAUUUAACAGUUUAUUAUACCCUAACGACCCUUUAUUGGUGUAGCAUCAGAUUCCUUCUGUGUAUGACACAGUGAUCUGGGUUGACGUUUACUAGAACAAUUACAAUGUCGUACUUGAGUCAGUCAGAAUCUUAGUCAGAGUCAGAUGUCAUAGAGUAUUUGUCUCGAUGCGACUUAAGUUUGGGCGUGAAUUUACUUCAGCCGACUGUUAGACUCUGCAGUAAAGGUAAAUAAAACCAAUGACCCGAUCAAUUCUCUUCGUGAGCAAGUUGUGUGUCUUUUCUGUUCUAUCGCUUCCGAUUUAGGACUUCUUCUCUGUGCAAUGUCAUCUUUCUUUUACAGGGGAACGACUAUCUGUGCUCUGGUUGUGUUCGUAAGGCAGCUAGGGGAUCGACUAAUAAAGCUCUCUUCUACCAACUGUCGAAACUUGUGUCGAAACCCUCGACAUAACUAUUGCAGCUGUUACCCCCUUUUGAUGCAUAAUUAGUCUUUAUGCGUCGUGGAUUGAGUGGCGUCGAGUUCUAUACUGUCAAAAAUAAAAUCCCAUACAUCAUGAUUUUUCUCAAAGCCACUAAAACGCCACACCAAGAAGCCCUCUCCCAAAAAUUCGGUGACCUUCACCGACCUGCCCCGCCCCGAUCUGACCACCCGCUGUCCGUCCCCAGCGCGCCUCCCCUCCACCCCUCCCCGAUCUGACCCACCGCUGUCCAUCCCCAGCGCGCCUCCCCAAGUGGUUCGGUGUCGCGGCCCGACCUGCCCCACCCCUCCCCGAUCUGACCACCCGCUGUCCGUCCCCAGCGCGCCUCCCCUCCACCCCUCCCCGAUCUGACCACCCGCUGUCCGUCCCCAGCGCGCCUCCCCUCCACCCCUCCCCGCUCUGACCCACCCGAUGUCCGUCCCCAGCGCGCCUCCCAAAGUGGUUCGGUGAGCGACCCGGCAAGAAGUCGGAUGACCCCGAGACCCCCCAGGAGGAGGAGAAGGAGGAGGAGCUAGUACCCCCGGCCGAGAUCGAGCCCGAACCCCUGGAGGAAGAGGAGGAAGAGAGUGAGGAAGAAGAGGAGGAGGAGGAAGAGGAAGAAGAGGAGGAGGAGGAAGAGGAAUAAACUCUUCCAAAUUCUCAUUCAUGGUCCGGCGAUCGGUUCCGUCCGCUGACGUGCUGCGGGCAGCGGCAGCGCCCUCUACAACAUCGUGAGCGAUCACAGCGCCACCUACACGGUCCGGGCACGGCCGGCCGGGGCCCACCCAGCCCAGUCCCGACCGACCGGUCCCGCCGUAGCGGCCUGCUGGGCCCCAGUGCGCGGCGUCCGCCGGUCGCCGGGCCGAAUCUGUGUGCCUCAUAUGUCUCCCGAUGCUCGUGACGCUUCUGUUGCCUCUGUUGUACUUUGACGACUCAUAAAUGACUCGGUACGUAA